ensembl:snRNA U4 U4 spliceosomal RNA
AGCUUUGUGCAGUGGCAGUAUCAUAGCCAAUGAAGUUUAUCUGAGGCCUGAUUAUUGCUACGUGAAAACUUUUCUUAAUACUCCUCCAUGACAACUUGAAAUAUAGUCAGCAUUGGCAAUUUUUGACAGUCUUUACAGAGA